rnacentral:lncRNA from 1 species
ACUACUAGAAAAUUCGCUUUUAGAGACCAAUUUAGUGACCGAAAUAAUUCGGUCGCUAUAGAGACCGAAUUAGAGACCAAAUUUUGAGUGUCAAAGUCAAAAAAUAAUUCAGUCGCUAAAUCGGUCGCUAUAUGACUAUAGAGACCGAAUUGGAGACCGAUUUAUUAGCGACCGUAAAUUCCGUCGCUAUGGUUUUUAUUUUUUUAAUAUAUGCUAUUUUUUUAUGUUAAAUAAUUUUCAUAAUAAUUCAAUAUAUAUAUAUAUUUUUCUUAAAACGACAUUUUUAUACCCAAAACCUUCAGUUUCUUAUUACGCGAACCUAGAAACCUUUUCUUCUUCACUCAAUUUCUUCUCCCACACCCAAAAAUCAAAAUUUUUUCAAGUCUUCCACCAAACCAAGAACCCUCUUAUUCUCACUUGAAUUGAUUGAAACCAGAAACNNNNNNNNNNNNNNUGAAUUGAUUGAAACCAGAAACCCUUAAUCAUUAUUAUUCAUUCACCCUCAAUAGAUUGAAACCCAAAAACCUUUACUCUUCUCUUCCGUCGGCAGUCAAUCUCACUCACUCAUUGAAACCCUAAAACCCAGAAGCUUGACUCAUUGGAACCAGAAUCCAAAACUCGUUAAAACCCCAAAACCAUCUUCUCCAUCGUUCUAGAGUUCUUUGAACCAAGAAACUCUUCGUCGUGUCUGCAUCGUUCACCAUUAUUCAUCGCAAUUGAACCUCGUCUCGUCAGAACUCAUUCUUUAGG